rnacentral:rRNA from 1 species
AACGAACGCUGGCGGCAUGCCUAACACAUGCAAGUCGAACGAGACCUUCGGGUCUAGUGGCGCACGGGUGCGUAACGCGUGGGAAUCUACCCUUGGGUUCGGAAUAACAGUUAGAAAUGACUGCUAAUACCGGAUGAUGACGUAAGUCCAAAGAUUUAUCGCCCAAGGAUGAGCCCGCGUAAGAUUAGCUUGUUGGUGGGGUAAUGGCCUACCAAGGCGACGAUCUUUAGCUGGUCUGAGAGGAUGAUCAGCCACACUGGGACUGAGACACGGCCCAGACUCCUACGGGAGGCAGCAGUGGGGAAUAUUGGACAAUGGGCGAAAGCCUGAUCCAGCAAUGCCGCGUGAGUGAUGAAGGCCUUAGGGUUGUAAAGCUCUUUUACCAGGGAUGAUAAUGACAGUACCUGGAGAAUAAGCUCCGGCUAACUCCGUGCCAGCAGCCGCCGUAAUAC